rnacentral:misc_RNA from 1 species
GAUGAAGAACGUAGCGAAAUGCGAUAAGUAAUGUGAAUUGCAGAAUUCAGUGAAUCAUCGAAUCUUUGAACGCACCUUGCGCUCCUUGGUAUUCCGAGGAGCAUGCCUGUUUGAGUGUCAUUAAAUUCUCAACCUCACCCGUUUUCUGAACGGGUCGAGGCUUGGAUGUGGGGGCUUGUGCAGGCUGCCUCACUGGCGGUCUGCUCCCCUGAAAUGCAUUAGCGAGGUUCAUGCUGAACUUCCGUCUAUUGGUGUGAUAAUUAUCUACGCCGUGGACGAGGAUCAGACUCGCUUCUAACUGUCCGCGAGGACAAUACCUUGACAAUUUGACCUCAAAUCAGGUAGGACUACCCGCUGAACUUAAGCAUAUCAAUAAGCGGAGGA